ACUCCGGUCAUGCCUCAGUACGGCGAGUGAAGCGGCAAAAGCUCAAAUUUGAAAUCUAGCACCUUCGGUGUUUGAGUUGUAAUUUGAAGAUGGUAACCUUGGGUUUGGCUCUUGUCUAUGUUCCUUGGAACAGGACGUCAUAGAGGGUGAGAAUCCCGUCUGAUGAGAUGCCCAUUCCUAUGUAAGGUGCUAUCGAAGAGUCGAGUUGUUUGGGAAUGCAGCUCUAAGUGGGUGGUAAAUUCCAUCUAAAGCUAAAUAUUGGCGAGAGACCGAUAGCGAACAAGUACAGUGAUGGAAAGAUGAAAAGAACUUUGAAAAGAGAGUGAAAAAGUACGUGAAAUUGUUGAAAGGGAAGGGCAUUAGAUCAGACUUGGUGUUUUACGAUUAUCUUCUCUUCUUGAGUUGUGCACUCGUAUUUCACUGGGCCAGCAUCGAUUCGGAUGGCAAGAUAAUGGCAGUUGAAUGUGGCUUCACUUCGGUGGAGUGUUAUAGCUUCUGCUGAUAUUGCCUGUCUGGAUCGAGGGCUGCGUCUUUUGACUAGGAUGCUGGCGUAAUGAUCUAAUGCCGCCCGUCUUAACUCCGAACCCAUGA
rnacentral:rRNA from 1 species